GUUGCCCCAGGGCUGAGGAACGUGGGGGUGGGGAGGAGGCUGCCACCCAGAAAGGCUGCGAGACCCCAUCUCCCUCCAGGAGGACUCAACCUGGCAGGGAUGCUCUGACUGGCACUGCCAGGGCUGAGAAAGGAGUCUGGCCUCCUGCAGCACCAGCCAGGGUCCCGGGGAGCUCCUCCAAGACCUCUUGUCCAGGGAGCUCCACACAAAGCGCUCUUGCCCGGAUGCCGGUGUCACCUCACAGAGCAGUUUCUUCGGGUUGCCAGAACCCCCAGCCUCAGUCAGAUGAGCUGGCCCCCAGGAUACCUGGCAUGUUUCCUGUUUCUAUCCUGUGGCUCACAUCUGCGUCCCCCGAAUGAACUCUGUCCCCCUUUCAGAAUGUCUAGAGAACAGACCAGCCGAUCUAGAGACAGAACAUCUCCAAGCUGCACAAGUAUGGGCACGGUGUGUGGGACGAAGGGCCUGGAGCAGAGCGUAGUGACCAGGCCCUUGAAGACUUGGUGGCACAGACACUUCCUUGAGCUUAGAGCCCAAUCUGGCGCUUCCCAGCUGUGUGACUUUGGGCAAGUUCCUUCUCUAGAAAAUGGGGGCAACACUAUCCCUCCCAUGAGCUGUCAUGCAGAUAGCAUGGAAAAUGGACUCUAAAUAGCUGACCCUUGAGAAGGCCUCAGACAGAAGGAACUGGUAGCCUUUGGCAACUGAUUGGGAAGGAGGAGGUCGGGUUCCAGGAUGAGUAGGAUGUGACCGGGGUUUCUGACAGAAGGGCAUCUUAGCCAGAGGACUGGGUGGGGAAAAGAUGAGGUUCAAGGUGAGGCUGAAGUGCGGGGACCACAUCUAGGGAGAGAUAUGUGGGAAGCACGUGGAAAUUUAGCUUGGCCUCUGGGAGAUGUCUUAUUCAUUAACAUGUUCAUUUAUUUAUUUAACCAAGAUACAUCACUAAGCACUGACUAUGUGGCGCCACUAUUUAGUGGUCAUGGAUGGCCAGCAGACACGGCAGUGCUGUGACAGUCUCUGAUCAAUCAACACAUGCUUUCUAAGGGCGCUUGGGGUUUUUUUCUUCUGUGUUGGUUUUACACUGUCUUGAAAAGCCCUCGUUCAGUAAACAGUUGCUGACUAAGGGACUGAUUUAUUAACUCCUCCCAAAUCCAGGCCACCAUCUGCAACUUUUACCCAAGCCCUGCCUCCAAAGUGGGUGAGGAUUCUGGAAAUAUAGUCCACCUCUUUUGAACCAUUCAAACCUUUGCCACCUCUCCAUCUCACGUCUCAGACCCUCCCCCCCAAUUGAGAGCAGGGGAGUCCCUUACAGAAGAGUGGAACGUUCAUCCAGUGACUCAGGGGAGAUUUUCAGUUUCAGUUCAUUAUAUGGGGGCGAGGAAAGAGGAGACCACAAGAAGCAGUCCCUGGAACUUGUACCCAGUGGCCUGGCAUCAUGAGGCAGACUUGCCCAGUCUUUGCCCCACCGGCCUUCCCUUCCUGUCCUUUCCCACCUGG